rnacentral:hammerhead_ribozyme from 6 species
CGCCGAAACAGGCUCUCUCGGGCCUGUCCCAUGGGCUGGCAUCCCGUGGCUGAUGAUGGCUGCCUAAA